GGGGCAAUGGCGUAGUUGGGAGCGCGUUUGACUGAAGUAGCAAACUUCACCACGACAGGAUUCGGCCCAGCCAAUUCCAGUUAGUAAUCAGAAGGUCACCGGUUCGAUCCCGGUUUGCCCCA
rfam:Paracoccidioides sp. &apos;lutzii&apos; Pb01 unplaced genomic scaffold supercont2.16, whole genome shotgun sequence.